AUGGCCUAACGGCCGAACCAGCCAUUUGACGGAAUGUAAUCGUUUUAUAACGUGCAUAGACAUAAUUUUAUGUAUUAUACUAUGUAUCAACUAUGUUGAAUAAAGUUCUGAAUAGAUAAUUGAUAAUGACAAACUUCUAUUCACAUCUCUUGACCAAUGCUUGUGCCAGCAGUCGCGGCAACACAAGUAAGAUUAGUGUUAUUCAUCUUUAUUAGGUUUAAAGCGUACCUAGACGGCAGAUACUAGUAUCUGUUUUCUUUAUAACUAUAAAGGAGACAAGGUAUACAAUUUGCUAGAGUUUUAUGUGAGAGGUAAAUAUUAGAGCUAUUAGUGGAGAGAUAAAAUUCUUUGAUAUUAAUAGAAUGUGUAUUGGUAAAGACAACCCUCUAUGUAUAAACUGACGUUAAGGGACGAAGGCUUGGGUAGCGAAUAGGAUUAGAUACCCUAGUAGUCCAGGCAGAAAAUUAUGAAUGUUAUAUGCUUGGAAAGAAAGAGGAUUUUCGUUUAAAGCCCCUCCUAAACGGAAAGUGAAAAUUCAUAAUAAUAAAUUAAAAAUGAGUCAGGGUAUAAACAAGCGUAUAAAUGAAAGUGUAAGCAUUCCACCUUAAGAGUAGUGUGGCAACACAGGAACUGAAAUCAUUAGACCGUUUCUGAAACCAGUAGUGAAGUAUGUUAUUUAAUUCGAUAAUCCUCGAUAAAUCUUACCACAAUUUGAAUGGUACAUAUCUUAAUAUAUUUAUGUUAGAUACUGUAUUUAAGUGUGUAUUACAGGCGUUGCACGGCUGUCUAAAGCUAAUGUCGUGAGAUCGUGGUUAGAUUCAUUAAACUAGCGUAAUCCCCUUACUUUAUUUAAUUAUAAUAGAGUACUCGAUCUGUAUAUCGGAUCAAGUAAUAGGGAAGAAGACAAGUCAUCAU
rnacentral:rRNA from 1 species